rnacentral:tRNA from 1 species
GGGGAUAUAGCUCAGUUGGUAGAGUGCUUGCCUCGCAUGCACAAGGUCCUGGGUUUAAUACCCAGACCCCCA